UACGGGGGGGGCAAGCGUUGUUCGGAAUUACUGGGCGUAAAGGGCUCGUAGGCGGCCAACUAAGUCGGACGUGAAAUCCCUCGGCUUAACCGGGGAACUGCGUCCGAUACUGGAUGGCUUGAGUUCGGGAGAGGGAUGCGGAAUUCCAGGUGUAGCGGUGAAAUGCGUAGAUAUCUGGAGGAACACCGGUGGCGAAGGCGGCAUCCUGGACCGACACUGACGCUGAUGCGCGAAAGCCAGGGGAGCAAACGGG
rnacentral:rRNA from 1 species